rnacentral:rRNA from 1 species
GAUGAACGCUGGCGGCGUGCCUAAUACAUGCAAGUCGAGCGAACAGACGAGGAGCUUGCUCCUCUGACGUUAGCGGCGGACGGGUGAGUAACACGUGGAUAACCUACCUAUAAGACUGGGAUAACUUCGGGAAACCGGAGCUAAUACCGGAUAAUAUAUUGAACCGCAUGGUUCAAUAGUGAAAGACGGUUUUGCUGUCACUUAUAGAUGGAUCCGCGCCGCAUUAGCUAGUUGGUAAGGUAACGGCUUACCAAGGCAACGAUGCGUAGCCGACCUGAGAGGGUGAUCGGCCACACUGGAACUGAGACACGGUCCAGACUCCUACGGGAGGCCGCAGUAGGGAAUCUUCCGCAAUGGGCGGAAGCCUGACGGAGCAACGCCGCGUGAGUGAUGAAGGUCUUCGGAUCGUAAAACUCUGUUAUUAGGGAAGAACAAAUGUGUAAGUAACUAUGCACGUCUUGACGGUACCUAAUCAGAAAGCCACGGCUAACUACGUG